UCUCAGUUCGGAUUGUAGGCUGCAACCCGCCUGCGUGAAGUUGGAAUCGCUAGUAAUCGCGGAUCAGCAUGCCGCGGUGAAUACGUUCCCGGGCCUUGUACACACCGCCCGUCACACCAUGAGAGUCGGGAACACCCGAAGUCCGUAGCCUAACCGCAAGGGGGGCGCGGCCGAAGGUGGGUUCGAUAAUUGGGGUGAAGUCGUAACAAGGUACC
rnacentral:rRNA from 1 species